rnacentral:tRNA from 1 species
ACUAGUUUUAAUUAUUUAACCGAAUCAAGAUAAGGUUCAUUGUUAAAUAGUA